UACGUAGGGUGCAAGCGUUAAUCGGAAUUACUGGGCGUAAAGCGUGCGCAGGCGGUCCGCUAAGACCGAUGUGAAAUCCCCGGGCUUAACCUGGGAACUGCAUUGGUGACUGGCGGGCUGGAGUAUGGCAGAGGGGGGUAGAAUUCCACGUGUAGCAGUGAAAUGCGUAGAGAUGUGGAGGAAUACCGAUGGCGAAGGCAGCCCCCUGGCCAUACUGACGCUCAUGCACGAAAGCGUGGGGAGCAAACAGG
rnacentral:rRNA from 1 species